rnacentral:rRNA from 1 species
GUCCUGGCUGUAAACGAUGGGCACUAGGUGUGGUGGGAUCGACCCCUUCCGUGCCGCAGUUAACGCAUUAAGUGCCCCGCCUGGGGAGUACGACCGCAAGGUUGAAACUCAAAGGAAUUUACGGGGGCCCGCACAAGCGGUGGAGCAUGUGGUUUAAUUCGAUGAUACGCGAAUAACCUUACCGGGGCUUGACAUGCAGCAGAACAUUUGUGGAAACACGGAUGGUCCCUCACGGGACUGUUGCACAGGUGCUGCAUGGCUGUCGU